rnacentral:lncRNA from 1 species
GCAAGGCUGCAGAAAGCCCCAGCUGCACAGAAGAGGUGCUUCACACAGGAGCAGCAUGUCACCCUGCCUCUGUGCAGCAUCAGCAAGGCCACUUCUGGACAGAGACACGCAGACUGGGGAGGGGGAGGAAGCAUUGAGGACGAUCUGCAGGAGGACAGUCAGAGUGAGCCUUGGCUGGAGGCUGAUCCUUUCCAGAGAGGCUGACAUGGUGCUAAGGCCGUCAGCACCAUGGACUUCCCUGCGUCAAGGCUGCACGCAGUUGCCCAAAGGGUUCUGGAGGGAUAUACUUUAUAUAUAUGCAAGUUAUACAUCACAUGAGAGAUCUGUGAUCCAGCGUCUUUACAAACACCUCCCCACUCGUGCAGAAAGAAGGUGAGCAGGAGAUCUGCUACAGAGAUCCAUUUGAAGCGGAGCAGCGAGUCCUUGCACUCCCCAUGGGCUUUCUCAUCCAUGGGAGAGCUCUCACAUGGCACAGUGAUUGGCCAAAUGUGUUGUUAAACUUCAUGUGUUUACUUUUGUAGAGAGAAAAUAGGAUGAAAGGCAUUACAGAAAUGCAAAAUAUGGUUUGUUAUGAUUUAAAAGCCAUUCUGUUGUAUCAGUACUACUUUAAAAUAUUUGCCCCUUGCAGACAUUUCCAGAUAAGGAUUCCAACCCAUCUUUUCCAGUCCCAUUUUUUAAAGAAAUGGAGAAGUCUGCAACCCUUUGGACAAUGUCUCUUUUCUUUGAUCACUGCAGCCCUACGCCAUGAUGUGCACCCCACAAGGACAAUGUCAGAGUGCUUUUCUCAUCACAGAAUCACGGGGGUUGGAAGGGAGAUAAUUUGAGAUAAUUGAGUCCAGCCCCCUGCUAAAGAAGGUUCUCUACAGCAGGUUGCACAGGAAAGCGUCCAGUUGGGUCUUGAAUAUCUCCAGAGAAGGAGACUCCACAAUCACUCUAGGCAGCCUGUUUCAGUGCUCUGUCACUGUGCUCAUCACUUAGGGGAGAUGACCUGGAACAGAAAAAGCUUGCUGGCCUUUCUGAUCGUUUUUUACCCAGACCCUUGCCCAGAGUGCAAUGUGAGGGUGUAGGUCUGCAGUGCAACUCUCUUGGCCUGAAAAUCACUGAGUACAGACCCAUUCAAAAUCAUUCAGAACAGACCCGUUCACCCACCCUUCAUGCUUUGCACUCUGUUUUCCUGCCCUGAAUCACAGCUCGCUGUUGCCUGCAUUGUGAGCAUAAAAUUAGGACGCAGCUCCGUAUACCAAGGCCUCGAAAAAGUUCAGCUUUAGCAGUAGGAGCAGUGCUGUCAACACCUUUCCCAGUGCAGCAGAGGUUGGGGUGGUGAAAUUCAGUUUGCAAAGGACACCAGGACUACCAUGUGCCUGUUUUGCCCAUUU